GAUGAACGCUGGCGGCGUGCCUAAUACAUGCAAGUCGAGCGAAGCGGGGAGGGGUGAGUAACACUUGGUUAACCUCCGUUACGUCCGGGACAACUUCGGGAAACCGUUGGUAAACCUGAUAUUCAUAGAUGGAUCCGCGCUGCAUUAGCUAGUUGGUAAGGUAACGGCUUACCAAGGCAACGCUGCAUAGCCGACCUGUGAGGAUGAUCGGCCACACUGGAACUGAGACACGGUCCAGACUCCUACGGGAGGCAGCAGUGGGGAAUCUUCCGCAAUGGACGAAAGCCUGACGGAGCAACGCCGCGUGAGUGAAGAAGGUCUUCGGAUCGUAAAGCUCUGUUAUUAGGGAAGCGGUACCUAAUCAGAAAGCCACGGCUAACUACGUGCCAGCAGCCGCGGUAAUAC
rnacentral:rRNA from 1 species